rnacentral:rRNA from 1 species
CCUGAAGUGGGGGAUAACCAUUGGAAACGAUGGCUAAUACCGCAUAAUGCCUACGGGCCAAAGAGGGGGACCUUCGGGCCUCUCGCGUCAGGAUAUGCCUAGGUGGGAUUAGCUAGUUGGUGAGGUAAUGGCUCACCAAGGCGACGAUCCCUAGCUGGUCUGAGAGGAUGAUCAGCCACACUGGAACUGAGACACGGUCCAGACUCCUACGGGAGGCAGCAGUGGGGAAUAUUGCACAAUGGGCGCAAGCCUGAUGCAGCCAUGCCGCGUGUGUGAAGAAGGCCUUCGGGUUGUAAAGCACUUUCAGUCGUGAGGAAGGUAGUGUAGUUAAUAGCUGCAUUAUUUGACGUUAGCGACAGAAGAAGCACCGGCUAACUCCGUGCCAGCAGCCGCGGUAAUACGGAGGGUGCGAGCGUUAAUCGGAAUUACUGGGCGUAAAGCGCAUGCAGGUGGUUUGUUAAGUCAGAUGUGAAAGCCCGGGGCUCAACCUCGGAAUUGCAUUUGAAACUGGCAGACUAGAGUACUGUAGAGGGGGGUAGAAUUUCAGGUGUAGCGGUGAAAUGCGUAGAGAUCUGAAGGAAUACCGGUGGCGAAGGCGGCCCCCUGGACAGAUACUGACACUCAGAUGCGAAAGCGUGGGGAGCAAACAGGAUUAGAUACCCUGGUAGUCCACGCCGUAAACGAUGUCUACUUGGAGGUUGUGGCCUUGAGCCGUGGCUUUCGGAGCUAACGCGUUAAGUAGACCGCCUGGGGAGUACGGUCGCAAGAUUAAAACUCAAAUGAAUUGACGGGGGCCCGCACAAGCGGUGGAGCAUGUGGUUUAAUUCGAUGCAACGCGAAGAACCUUACCUACUCUUGACAUCCAGAGAACUUUCCAGAGAUGGAUUGGUGCCUUCGGGAACUCUGAGACAGGUGCUGCAUGGCUGUCGUCAGCUCGUGUUGUGAAAUGUUGGGUUAAGUCCCGCAACGAGCGCAACCCUUAUCCUUGUUUGCCAGCGAGUAAUGUCGGGAACUCCAGGGAGACUGCCGGUGAUAAACCGGAGGAAGGUGGGGACGACGU